UCUAAUAUGGCAGAGCAGUGCUAUGGACUUAAACCCCAUAUACAAAGGUUGACCUUUUUUUAGAA
rnacentral:tRNA from 2 species